rnacentral:lncRNA from 1 species
UGUGGGUCUCUAUGGGGUCCCUGUGGGGCUCUAUGGGAUCUACGGGUCUCUAUGGGUCUCUAUGGGUCUCUGUGGGUCCCUAUGGGUCCCUAUGGGAUCUGUGGGUCUCUGUGGGUCCCUAUGGGUCUGUAUGGGGUCUCUAUGGGAUCUAUGGGUCCCUAUGGGUCUCUAUGGGGUCUUUAUGGGAUCUAUGGGUCUCUAUGGGUCUCUAUGGGGCCCUGUGGGUCUGUAUGGGGCUCUAUGGGUCCCUAUGGGGCUGUAUGGGAUCCCUAUGGGGUCUCUAUGGGAUCUGUGGGUCCCUAUGGGUCUCUGUGGGUCUCUAUGGGGCUGUAUGGGAUCUAUGGGGUCUCUAUGGGAUCUGUGGGUCCCUAUGUGUCCCUAUGGGUCUCUAUGGGGUUUCUAUGGGUCCCUCUGUGGUCUCUAUGGGAUCUGUGGGUCCCUAUGGGUCUCAAUGGGAUGUGUGGGUCACUAUGGGUCUGUAUGGGGUCUCUAUGGGAUCUGUGGGUCUCUAUGGGAUCUAUGGGGUCUAUGGGUCCCUAUGGGUCUCUGUGGGGCUCUAUGGGUCCCUAUGGGUCCCUAUGGGUCUCUGUGGGGCUCUAUGGGAUCUAUGGGGUCUA